CAAGUAGUUGCAGGAGUAAGCAGUUUACUUCUUUUAACCCAUGAUAGUCUCUAACUCGGAGGCUGAGCUCUGGACUUGGGACUUCUUGGUUCCUUGAGCUUUGGGAUAGACAGACUUAGAGGAGAAGCAGGAUUAACGUGUCAUUUAACCCUUUAACGCCCUCAAGAUCUGAAGAAAUCGAUGGCCGAAAAAUCACGCAAGGAUGAGGAUGUAGACAAAGAAGACUCAAUAUCGAAGCAAGGGCAGGCUUCCUCCUGCCAUGAUGGCUUGUCCCAGUUCCAGAAGCACAGACACCUGACCAGCAACUGAAACCUUUGAGACAACCGGGAGCCACACAAUGGAAAGCUCGGCUUCUAAAUCAGACCUCCAAGUCCUGAUAUCCACUCCUGCCUCAUGCACUGAAAGGAAAUAAAACUGUGAUUCAUGUAAUGUAUGUCAAAUAGCCCAAAGAGUUGUUU
rnacentral:lncRNA from 1 species